rnacentral:rRNA from 1 species
UACGAAGGGGGCGAGCGUUGUUCGGAUUUACUGGGCGUAAAGGGCGCGCAGGCGGCGCAUUUUGUCAGGCGUGAAAGCCCCGGGCUUAACCUGGGAACUGCGUUUGAUACGGAUGGGCUAGAGUUCGGGAGAGGAGAGUGGAAUUCCCAGUGUAGAGGUGAAAUUCGUAGAUAUUGGGAAGAACACCGGUGGCGAAGGCGGCUCUCUGGACCAAUACUGACGCUGAGGAGCGAAAGCCAGGGGAGCAAACGGG